UACGAAGGGAGCUAGCGUUGUUCGGAAUCACUGGGCGUAAAGCGCACGUAGGCGGAUGUGUCAGUCAGGGGUGAAAUCCCGGAGCUCAACUUCGGAACUGCCCUUGAUACAGCACGUCUUGAGUCCGGAAGAGGUGGGUGGAAUUCCUAGUGUAGAGGUGAAAUUCGUAGAUAUUAGGAAGAACACCGGUGGCGAAGGCGGCCCACUGGUCCGGUACUGACGCUGAGGAGCGAAAGCGUGGGGAGCGAACAGG
rnacentral:rRNA from 1 species